rnacentral:rRNA from 1 species
AUUUUUUGUGGUGCAUUUACUUGAUUGGUGCUUGGGGAUGUUUGAGGCAGAUUUGUUUCCGCCGUUUUGAGGCCAGCUUGCUGGUACCCAAACGGUGUUAGCAUUUUUUGUCUUGGGCAUUUGAGUAUGGCUCACGGGUAUUUAUUGGACCGAUCUGAGUGUAAGUUACGGUCGCAUGCGACACGUGCUUUUCAAUUAGUUCGGUCCAGUUAAUGCUCUCGUACUCGUUCCCCAUGUAAAAGCCGGUCAUCUAUCCGACCCGUCUUGAAACACGGACCAAGGAGUUUAUCGUGUGCGCAAGUUUUUGGGUGUUAAAAACUUAAAAGCGAAAUGAAAGUAAAUGACUCUUUAGAGUCUGAUGUGCGAUCUUGUAAAAAAGUGCAGCAUGGCCCCAUUCUAACUGUUUACAGUAGGGUGGMGGAAGAGCGUACGCGGUGAGACCCGAAAGAUGGUGAACUAUUCCUGAGCAGGACGAAGCCAGAGGAAACUCUGGUGGAAGU